rnacentral:rRNA from 1 species
UACGUAGGGUGCAAGCGUUGUCCGGAAUUAUUGGGCGUAAAGGGCUCGUAGGCGGUCCAUCGCGUCGGGAGUGAAAAGCUGGGGCUCAACCCCAGUCCUGCUUCCGAUACGGGUGGACUAGAGGUAUGCAGGGGAGAACGGAAUUCCUGGUGUAGCGGUGAAAUGACGCCAGAUAUCAGGAGGAACACCGGUGGCGAAGGCGGUUCUCUGGGACGGUACUGACGCUGAGACGCGAAAGCGUGGGGAGCGAACAGG